rnacentral:rRNA from 1 species
AGUCGACGAACACUUAUCUUUGAUUCUUCGGAUGAAGAGAUUUGUGACUGAGUGGCGGACGGGUGAGUAACGCGUGGGUAACCUGCCUCAUACAGGGGGAUAACAGUUAGAAAUGACUGCUAAUACCGCAUAAGACCACAGAGCCGCAUGGCUCGGUGGGAAAAACUCCGGUGGUAUGAGAUGGACCCGCGUCUGAUUAGGUAGUUGGUGGGGUAACGGCCUACCAAGCCAACGAUCAGUAGCCGACCUGAGAGGGUGACCGGCCACAUUGGGACUGAGACACGGCCCAAACUCCUACGGGAGGCAGCAGUGGGGAAUAUUGCACAAUGGGGGAAACCCUGAUGCAGCGACGCCGCGUGAGCGAAGAAGUAUUUCGGUAUGUAAAGCUCUAUCAGCAGGGAAGAAAAUGACGGUACCUGACUAAGAAGCACCGGCUAAAUACGUGCCAGCAGCCGCGGUAAUACGUAUGGUGCAAGCGUUAUCCGGAUUUACUGGGUGUAAAGGGAGCGUAGACGGAUGUGUAAGUCUGAAGUGAAAGCCCGGGGCUCAACCCCGGGACUGCUUUGGAAACUAUGCAGCUAGAGUGUCGGAGAGGUAAGUGGAAUUCCCAGUGUAGCGGUGAAAUGCGUAGAUAUUGGGAGGAACACCAGUGGCGAAGGCGGCUUACUGGACGAUGACUGACGUUGAGGCUCGAAAGCGUGGGGAGCAAACAGGAUUAGAUACCCUGGUAGUCCACGCCGUANACGAUGACUACUNGGUGUCGGGGAGCAAAGCUCUUCGGUGCCGCAGCAAACGCAAUAAGUAG